rnacentral:lncRNA from 1 species
CAGAUAAUCUACCUAUGCAUGCAGGUGAGGUAUAGACCAGAAUUUAUUGUCUAGUGUCUUGUUUUAUCUUACCGUUUGUUGAUAUAACAUGAUGUUUUAUUUUUUUGAGAUGGGGGUCUCACUAUGUGACAUGGGGACACUAUGUGUCCCCACCCAAAUCUCAUCUUGAAUUGUAGUUCCCAUAACCAUGUGUGGUGGAAGGGACCCAGCAGGAGAUAAGUUAAUUAUGGGGGCAGUUACUCUAAUGCUGUUCUCGUGAUAGUGAGUUCUCACAAGAUCUGAUGGUUUUACAAGGGGCUUUUCCCUCUUUUGCUGGGCACUUCUCCUUGCUGCUGCCAUGUGAAGAAGGAUGUGUUUGCUUCCCCUUCCGCCAUGAUUGUAAGUUUCCUGAGGCCUCCCCAGCCAUGCUGAACUCCUUUUAUACAAGACACAGUACAGUAUAGUAUGUCUAUUAUCUUAAACUCAUAAAUUGCAAA